rnacentral:rRNA from 1 species
UACGGGGGGAGCAAGCGUUGUUCGGAUUUACUGGGCGUAAAGGGCGCGUAGGCGGCAAUUCAAGUCAUCUGUGAAAUCUCCGGGCUUAACUCGGAACGGUCAGAUGAUACUGCUUUGCUGGAGUGCGGAAGGGGCAAUCGGAAUUCUUGGUGUAGCGGUGAAAUGCGUAGAUAUCAAGAGGAACACCUGAGGUGAAGACGGGUUGCUGGGCCGACACUGACGCUGACAGCGCGAAAGCCAGGGGAGCAAACGGG